rnacentral:rRNA from 1 species
CAGAAACUACAAAGGAAGUUGACGGGGCCCGCACAAGCGGAGGAGCAUGUGGUUUAAUUCGAUGAUACGCGAGGAACCUUACCUGGGCUCGAACGUAAGAUGACUGUAGGUGAAAGCUUACAUCUCUUCGGAGCAUUUUACGAGGUGCUGCAUGGUUGUCGUCAGCUCGUGCCGUGAGGUGUCGGGUUAAGUCCCAUAACGAGCGCAACCCCUACCUUUAGUUGCCAUCAGGUUAAGCUGGGGACUCUAAAGGAACUGCCUACGCAAGUAGUGAGGAAGGCGGGGAUGACGUCAAAUCAGCACGGCCCUUACGUCCAGGGCUACACACGUGCUACAAUGGCCGAUACAGAGGGCAGCUACCUGGUGACAGGAUGCAAAUCUCCAAAGUCGGUCUCAGUUCGGAUCGGAGUCUGCAACCCGACUCCGUGAAGUUGGAUUCGCUAGUAAUCGUGAAUCAGAAUGUCACGGUGAAUACGUUCCCGGGCCUU